rnacentral:tRNA from 1 species
GAGGGUAUAGCUCAAGUGGUAGAGCACAUGCUUAGCAUGCAUGAGGUCCUAAGUUCAAUCCCCAGUACCUCCU